CAGUCCUCUCUCAUGAGGAGGCACCCCACUGCCUCCUUGCAGGAGCCUCGGGGGUAAGGAAUCAAGAUCUACUCAGUGUGACAAAUAAACCCGACUCUCAGCAAUGCAGGAAGAAACCAGCCAGUGACCUGGAGUAAAGACCCUCAUAUACCACAUGGACCAGGCAACCUCAUGCAUGAACCAAGGAAGGAAAUGCCAGAGGAGCCGGUAAAGUAUUUCCUUGGUGGUCAGGACUAAGAAAAGAAAAGCAGCGGGGCGGUGAAGCAUUCCUUGGUUAGGACAUACCAAGGAAAGAGGAGCCACAGGGGCAGUAAGGCAUUCCUUAGUUGGGAGUAAGGGAAGAAAAGCCACUGGGAGUGAUGAAGUAUUCCUUAGUCGGGAUGUCUUAGAGGUUACAAAAAGGUGAAAAAUUCCCAUUAGGGGGAGACUGAACCUCACACACUCCUCUGGCAGUAGGAAAAAUAGUCAGAACUUCCCUUUCCCCUCUUCUCAGCGGAAGAAAGAAGCUAAGCUCCACUCCUACUGGCCGCUCCCUAGGGGCAGGAGAAGGAGAGGGGAGAACAGCAGUGUAGGUGGCUGGCAGAGGCAGGGAAAGACCAGCAGAGAGGAAAGAGAAACUGAGAAAAGUCAGAGAGAAAGAGAGAGCAGCAAGCACAGCUCCACAUUGUUGCAGAUCGCUGGCACCCAGCAGAGUGGCGGCUGGAACGCUCUCCUCGAACGUGGCCAUGCAGCCAGAGCCACUCAGGCCACCGGCCGCCAAGCUCCAAACCUUCCAUGCCACUCGGGCGUGUCUUGCCACCCUCGGAGGACGGCAGGCCAUGGACACCUGAAGAAGAGUGUGAGCGCUCUGUCAUGCCCGGACAGGGCCACUAGAGGGCUCCUUGGUCUAGCGGUAACGCCGGUGCCUGGGAAGGCACCCAUUACUUAGCCUACGGGGAGAGGGAGUCUCCCUUCUCCCCGCCCCAGGGAGUUAGAGAAGAGUCUGCGCCACUGCCUCUUGUGGAAGGCCUGACAUCAGUCAGGCCCGCCGGCAACCAUCCGGAGACCUAACCAUCUCCCUGUGAUGCUGUGCUUCAGCGGUCAUGCUCCUGGUCUGCUUUCAUGUUCCGCCCUGCACACCUGGCUCCGCCUUCUAGAUAGCAGUAGCAGAAUUAGUGAAAGCACUAAAGUCUUUGAAAUGCAGGGAAGAAAUAAUGACGUAAGCUGUUCUCUCUCUCCACCACGGCUACCAUACAGGGAAGGGCCCCCUGUCCGGUGUGCACAUGACUCGCGUGACCUUACCUAUCACUGGAGAUGGCUCACACUCCUUACCCUGUCCCCUUGCCUUGUAUCCAAUAAAUAACAGGGCAGUCAGGCAUUCGGGGCCACUACUCGUCUCCGCGACUUGGUGGUCGUGGUCCCCCGGGGUCCAGCUGUCUUUUCUUCUAUCUUUGUCUUGUGUCUUUAUUUACAAGAUCUCUUGUCUCCGCACAUGAAAAGAAAAACCCACAGGCCCUGUAGGACCCUAUAGCAGGAUCUUCCACGUUCCCUUUUCUCAGAACUAAAAGUCUUUUAGCACAGGCACCACCCCUAGAGUGUCCAGCACACCAACAUCAGCCUGGAGACCACGUCCUCAUCAAAUGAUAGAAAAAAGGAAAACUUGAGACAGCCUAGGAAGGCCCCUACCUCAUGCUGCUACCCACCGAGACUGCCGUUUGCACAGCAGAAAAAGGAUGGACACGUCACACCCAAGUCAAAAAAGCAUCAUCAUGUUCAAAAUCAUGGGCCAUUGUUCCAGGUGAAGCCCUACCAUAUUAAAGCUAAGAAAAACUUAA